rnacentral:rRNA from 1 species
UACGGAGGGUGCAAGCGUUGUUCGGAUUUACUGGGCGUAAAGCGCGCGCAGGUGGGUGUGCAAGUCGGAAGUGAAAUCCCAGGGCUCAACCCUGGGGCUGCUCCCGAAACUGCACGUCUAGGGACUGGUAGAGGCUGGUAGAAUUCCCGGUGUAGCGGUGGAAUGCGUAGAGAUCGGGAAGAAUACCUGUGGCGAAGGCGGCCAGCUGGGCCAGAUCCGACACUGAGGCGCGAAAGCGUGGGGAGCAAACAGGG